rnacentral:lncRNA from 1 species
UCCGCCCCCCUCUUUCUCCCCCCGUCGGUCGCUCCUCCACCCCGACAUCUCCUUUCUCCCUGCAGAGGAACAGUUCGCCGCGUAGCAGCCGCUGGGGCGCUGGGAGCGGCGGGAAGGGUGGAAGAAGGCAGGCGCAGAGGCCCGGAGAGGCGGGAGCCAGGUCGCGGCCCCGCAGCCGCUCCGGUCUCAGUCCGGGUAUUCUCGGUGGCAGAGCCCGGGCCUGGCCGCCGGCGCCGCGGGUGGGAGGACGGCGCCUGGAGCGGAGCCCGGAGGCGCGAAGAGGAGGAGCGGGUCUCAGUCCUGGGAGCGGGAACAGCGCAGGCAAGCCGGGGAACCUCGGGGGCGGUGACCGAGGGCUGGACAGCUCGGGUCACCGCGGGACCCCACUAGGGGACUACGGGGAACCGGCCUCACCCGCGGAGCGCUGAGAAUAACCCAGCGGGCAUUCAAACUGGCGAGUCCGGCUGCGUUCCUGCGGCCCGCGCCCAGCCGAGCCCUGAUUGGCGUUCACGCAGCCAAUCAUAGCCUCAGGGCCUGAGGUGGGUGGGGCCGGAGCGGGCCGGGCGCGCCCGCGGAGGCGGACCCCGAGGACCCUGUCUUCUGGGUGCGCCAGAAACGGAGGGGGGCCGGUUGGCGCGUCCCGCUUCUCCGCGCCUCGUUGGAAGGCCACACCCGGGCCUGGAGACCUGGACAGAAGCGGACACUGCGACUCAAAACCCCAGGCUCAAUGGGAGAUGCCUACCGUGCAAAGUCCCGGAGCGCUGGCCUGGAGGAAGAGGGCGUCCCGCGCCUGUGCAAAUACCUGGAGAACGCGCGGGAGACGAUGCUGCUGCAGGGAAAGAAAGCAUCAAGGUCAUGAGAUGAAAAAAUGUCAGCGUUCCAGCUUCUCUGCCAAGGAAUUAUCUGAAUCCAGAAUAUUGUAACAUAGGCCAAAACUCCGUAGUUUCUUAUGCUACAUGUCACCCUUAGCAUACGGUUACUCAACCUCGAGCAUUAUUGACAUUUGGGGUGGACUCAUUCCUCGUUGUAGGGGCUGUCAUGUGCACGGUAGGAUGUUUAGCAGCAGACCCCACCUCUGCCCACUCGAUGCCAGGAGCACCAAUCCCCGACCCCACCCUCUCAGUUGUGACAACUAAAAAUGUCUCCAGAUAUUGCCACAUGUCUCCGGGGUGGGGGGCUGCGGGGCGGGGAGAUGAUUGGGGAUCAUUGCUCUUAACAGAAAUAAACACAUGAUGAAAAACAACGCAAAGCUGUGAUUAAAGGAGGCUUUGUGGACACUGGUUUUGAAUUUUUCUUUUCUUUGGUACUCAGAAUAUUUUAUUCCCAAGUCAAAGCACCAUAAUUAUAUUUGGGAUAGGUAAGUGGUAUGCCUUUCUUUUGUAAAGUGGGAGAAAAAUGAUUAUUAAAGGAGAGAUGGG